UACAGAGGUCCCAAGCGUUGUUCGGAUUCAUUGGGCGUAAAGGGUGCGUAGGUGGCGCCGUAAGUCAGGUGUGAAAUCUCGGGGCUUAACUCCGAAACUGCAUUUGAUACUGCGAUGCUUGAGGACUGGAGAGGAGACUGGAAUUUACGGUGUAGCAGUGAAAUGCGUAGAGAUCGUAAGGAAGGCCAGUGGCGAAGGCGGGUCUCUGGACAGUUCCUGACACUGAGGCACGAAGGCCAGGGGAGCAAACGGG
rnacentral:rRNA from 1 species